rnacentral:rRNA from 1 species
CGGGGCAAACUGGCGGCGAGUGGCGAACGGGUGAGUAAUAUAUCGGAACGUACCCAGAAGUGGGGGAUAACGUAGCGAAAGUUACGCUAAUACCGCAUACGAUCUACGGAUGAAAGUGGGGGACCUUCGGGCCUCAUGCUUUUGGAGCGGCCGAUAUCUGAUUAGCUAGUUGGUGAGGUAAAGGCUCACCAAGGCGACGAUCAGUAGCUGGUCUGAGAGGACGACCAGCCACACUGGAACUGAGACACGGUCCAGACUCCUACGGGAGGCAGCAGUGGGGAAUUUUGGACAAUGGGCGCAAGCCUGAUCCAGCAAUGCCGCGUGAGUGAAGAAGGCCUUCGGGUUGUAAAGCUCUUUUGUCAGGGAAGAAACGGUUCAGGCUAAUAUCCUGGGCUAAUGACGGUACCUGAAGAAUAAGCACCGGCUAACUACGUGCCAGCAGCCGCGGUAAUACGUAGGGUGCAAGCGUUAAUCGGAAUUACUGGGCGUAAAGCGUGCGCAGGCGGUUUUGUAAGUCUGACGUGAAAGCCCCGGGCUCAACCUGGGAAUUGCGUUGGAGACUGCAAGGCUUGAAUCUGGCAGAGGGGGGUAGAAUUCCACGUGUAGCAGUGAAAUGCGUAGAGAUGUGGAGGAACACCGAUGGCGAACGCAGCCCCCUGGGUCAAGAUUGACGCUCAUGCACGAAAGCGUGGGGAGCAAACAGGAUUAGAUACCCUGGUAGUCCACGCCCUAAACGAUGUCUACUAUUUGUCGGGUUUUAAUUAACUUGGUAACGCAGCUAACGCGUGAAGUACACCGCCUGGGGAGUACGGUUCGCAGAUUAAAACUCAAAGGAAUUGACGGGGACCCGCACAAGCGGUGGAUGAUGUGGAUUAAUUCGAUGCAACGCGAAAAACCUUACCUACCU